rnacentral:rRNA from 1 species
UACGGGGGGGGCAAGCGUUGUUCGGAAUUACUGGGCGUAAAGGGCUCGUAGGCGGCCAACUAAGUCAGGCGUGAAAGCCCCGGGCUUAACUCGGGAACUGCGCUUGAUACUGUCGAGCUAGAGUGUGGAAGGGGCGAUUGGAAUUCCGUGUGUAGCGGUGAAAUGCGUAGAUAUACGGAGGAACACCAGAGGCGAAGGCGGAUCGCUGGGCCAACACUGACGCUGAUGUGCGAAAGCUAGGGGAGCAAACGGG